rnacentral:rRNA from 1 species
UACGUAGGGGGGCAAGCGUUGUCCGGAAUCAUUGGGCGUAAAGCGCGCGUAGGCGGCCCGGUAAGUCCGUUGUGAAAGUCAAAGGCUCAACCUUUGAACGCCGAUGGAUACUGCCGGGCUAGAGUCCGGAAGAGGCGAGUGGAAUUCCUGGUGUAGCGGUGGAAUGCGCAGAUAUCAGGAGGAACACCAAUAGCGAAGGCGGUUCUCUGGGCCUUACCUGACACUGAGGAGCGAAAGCGUGGGGAGCGAACAGG